rnacentral:rRNA from 1 species
AUGUCCUGCGGUGACCCCCGCUUCACUGGCGCCGAUGGCAACAACUUCUACUUCCACGGCAAGAAGGACCAGGACUUCUGUGUCGUCUCUGACGCUGACCUCCAUAUCAAUGCCCACUUCAUCGGCAAGCGCAACCCCUCCAUGAGCCAAGACUUCACAUGGAUCCAGGCCUUGGGCAUCCGCUUCGCAAACCACCACCUCUACUUGGGUGCCAUGAAGACCUCCCAGUGGAAUCGCCUUGAGUUGGCCUUCGACGGAGCACCGAUCGACAUCUCUACUGACAUUGGCGCACAAUGGCAAUCCACCUCCGUGCCUGCCCUUACCGUCACAAGGACAUCCAUGACAAAUGGCAUGAGGGUCGAGCUUAAGGGUGUGUUCGACAUCAUGACUAAAGUAGUGCCCAUCACGGAGAAGGACUCCCGCAUCCACAACUAUGAUGUGACAGAGGAUGACAACCUCGCACAUUUGGACAUUGGGUUCAAAUUCUACGGUCUCACCGACAAUGUUCAUGGCAUUCUCGGCCAAACCUACCGCUCCGACUACGUCAACAAGCUCAACGUGAGUGCUAACAUGCCUGUGAUGGGUGGUGUAGCAAGCUAUGUCUCCUCCGACAUCUUCGCCACCGACUGCAAGGUCGCUAGGUUCGGCCACAAUGGCGGCAUCUCCAUGGUCACAACCAGGGCCAACUAA